CGGGUUAUGGAUGGGGAUGCGUCUGAUUAGCUUGUUGGCGGGGUAACGGCCCACCAAGGCUACGAUCAGUAGGGGUUCUGAGAGGAAGGUCCCCCCACAUUGGAACUGAGACACGGUCCAAACUCCUACGGGAGGCAGCAGUGAGGAAUAUUGGUCAAUGGGGCGAGAGCCUGAACCAGCCAAGUAGCGUGCAGGAUGACGGCCCUAUGGGUUGUAAACUGCUUUUAUGUGGGGAUAAAGUGCGUGACGUGUCAUGCAUUGCAGGUACCACAUGAAUAAGGACCGGCUAAUUCCGUGCCAGCAGCCGCGGUAAU
rnacentral:rRNA from 1 species